AGCGAACGCUGGCGGCAGGCUUAACACAUGCAAGUCGAGCGGGCACUUUCGGGUGUCAGCGGCGGACGGGUGAGUAACGCGUGGGAACGUGCCCUCUGGUUCGGAAUAACUCAGGGAAACUUGAUCUAAUACCGGAUACGCCCUUUUGGGGGAAGGCUUGCUGCCGGAGGAUCGGCCCGCGCCUGAUUAGCUAGUUGGUUAGGUAACGGCUCACCAAGGCGACGAUCAGUAGCUGGUCUGAGAGGAUGAUCAGCCACACUGGGACUGAGACACGGCCCAGAAUCCUACGGGAGGCAGGAGUGGGGAAUAUUGGACAAUGGGCGCAAGCCUGAUCCAGCCAUGCCGCGUGAGUGAUGAAGGCCUUAGGGUUGUAAAGCUCUUUUAUCCGGGACGAUAAUGACGGUACCGGAGGAAUAAGCCCCGGCUAACUUCGUG
rnacentral:rRNA from 1 species